rnacentral:rRNA from 1 species
UGGGGUGCUCGAGUGGCGAACGGGUGAGUAACACGUGAGUAACCUGCCCUUGACUUUGGGAUAACUUCAGGAAACUGGGGCUAAUACCGGAUAGGAGCUCCUGCUGCAUGGUGGGGGUUGGAAAGUUUCGGCGGUUGGGGAUGGACUCGCGGCUUAUCAGCUUGUUGGUGGGGUAGUGGCUUACCAAGGCUUUGACGGGUAGCCGGCCUGAGAGGGCGACCGGCCACAUUGGGACUGAGAUACGGCCCAG